GAUGAUAAUGAUGUCACUAUGUUUUGCUCUCAGAAGCGGGUGUGUUUGGGGAUGGAGGUCCAGGUGACUGAGUGUCCAAUGGAAACGUCCCACACCUUCACGGUGUCCAAUCAGCAACAAGAACAGCAGGUUGGUGUGGUCCGGUCCAGACCUCCUCUGCUCUGCUGUCCCAGGUGUCUCGGAGGAGAACCAGGUCACAUCAACCACAUCAUGGGCCACUGAGCAGGAGGAGGAGGCAAACAGUCAUGACCCCGCCCACUGAAAGGACCAAUCGGUUGCUCCUUUUCUCUGAUUUUUAACAUUCCUACGUUUCCAGAGCUUUCCACCACCUCAUGUCCUUCCUCAGUCGUCAUCACGUGACUUUGUUUGCUGGUGUGUUUAAGGACAAUCUGAAAUCUGAGUCUGAUCUUCAUCACAGGAUUAAAUGUAAAUCGGAGCGCUUUUCCAUUAGCUCUCUCAGUUCUCAGAUAUCCACGUGUCCAUGAACGCACCGUCACGUAGAGAGAAGCUGUUUUAUCAGUGAGCUGCAGGCUGCCUCUGAUCUGGGGGUACUUCUCAAGUCUCUUAAUUGUCGUAUCCUCGCUUGAACCGGAUGUUGUUUCUGCACCGCCAUAUUGACGGC